rnacentral:rRNA from 1 species
GCUGAAUGUGGGGAUAAUUUAUCUUUGUAUUGUAGCUAACGCGUUAAGCACUCCGCCUGGGGACUACGGUCGCAAGACUAAAACUCGAAGGAAUUGACGGGGACCCGCACAAGCGGUGGAGCAUGUGGUUUAAUUCGAUGCUACGCGAAAAACCUUACCACUUUUUGACAUGAAGGUCGUAUCCCUCCUAACAGGGGGAGUCAGUUCGGCUGGACCUUACACAGGUGCUGCAUGGUUGUCGUCAGCUCGUGUCGUGAGAUGUUGGGUUAAGUCCCGCAACGAGCGCAACCCUCAUUCUUAGUUACCAACAGGUAGUGCUGGGCACUCUAAGGAAACUGCCAGUGAUAAACUGGAGGAAGGUGGGGAUGAUGUCAAAUCAGCACGGCCCUUAUAGGGUGGGCUACACACGUGCUACAAUGGCAACUACAAUAGGUUGCAAGACCGCAAGGUUUAGCUAAUCCAUAAAAGUUGUCUCAGUUCGGAUUGUUCUCUGAAACUCGAGAGCAUGAAGUCGGAAUCGCUAGUAAUCGUGGAUCAUCACGCCACGGUGAAUACGUUCUCGGGUCUUGUACACACUGCCCGUCACGCCAUGGGAAUUGGCUUAACUCGAAGCUGGUGUGCUAACCGAAAGGAAGCAGCCAU